rnacentral:rRNA from 1 species
AGUGAACGCUGGCGGUAGGCCUAACACAUGCAAGUCGAACGGCAGCACAGUAAGAGCUUGCUCUUACGGGUGGCGAGUGGCGGACGGGUGAGGAAUACAUCGGAAUCUACUUUUUCGUGGGGGAUAACGUAGGGAAACUUACGCUAAUACCGCAUACGACCUACGGGUGAAAGCAGGGGAUCUUCGGACCUUGCGCGAUUGAAUGAGCCGAUGUCGGAUUAGCUAGUUGGCGGGGUAAAGGCCCACCAAGGCGACGAUCCGUAGCUGGUCUGAGAGGAUGAUCAGCCACACUGGAACUGAGACACGGUCCAGACUCCUACGGGAGGCAGCAGUGGGGAAUAUUGGACAAUGGGCGCAAGCCUAAUCCAGCCAUACCGCGUGGGUGAAGAAGGCCUUCGGGUUGUAAAGCCCUUUUGUUGGGAAAGAAAAGCAGCAGGUUAAUACCCCGCUGUUCUGACGGUACCCAAAGAAUAAGCACCGGCUAACUUCGU